rnacentral:ribozyme from 14 species
UUUUUUUUUUUUUUUUUUUUUUUUUAAAACAAAAAAAAAACAUAUUUUCUCACUCAUAACAUUGUCGUUGUUGUCUUAUUUA